rnacentral:rRNA from 1 species
UGAAUACGAGAUGCUACGGCAUCGAAGCAGUCUAUGUCAUACUUCCAAGAAAAGCUCGCACUGUCAUAAACAAAUUAAUGCCUGUACCAUAACCGACACAGGUGGGUAGGUAGAGUAUACUAAGGGGCGCGAGAUAACUCUCUCUAAGGAACUCGGCAAAAUGACUCCGUAACUUCGGGAGAAGGAGUGCCUUAUUUAUAAGGUUGCAAUAACCAGAUCCAAGCAACUGUUUAUCAAAAACACAGGUCUCCGCUAAGUCGUAAGACGAUGUAUGGGGGCUGACGCCUGCCCAGUGCCAGAAGGUUAAAGAAGUUGGUUAGCAUUAGCGAAGCUGAUAACUGAAGCCCUGGUGAACGGCGGCCGUAACGAUAACGGUCCUAAGGUAGCGAAAUUCCUUGUCGGGUAAGUUCCGACCCGCACGAAAGGCGUAAUGAUUUGGAUACUGUCUCAGAGAGGGGCUCGGUGAAAUAGACUUGUCUGUGAAGAUGCGGACUACCUGCACCUGGACAGAAAGACCCUAUGAAGCUUUACUGUAACUUGAAACUGAAAUUGGACUUUAUUUGCGCAGUAUAGGUGGGAGGCUUUGAAAAUAUUCUUGCGGGAAUAUAGGAGCCAUCAGUGAGAUACCACUCUUGUAAUGUUAGAUUUCUAACUUUGUGUCAUUAUCCGGUCAAAGAACAGUUUCAGGCGGGCAGUUUGACUGGGGCGGUCGCCUCCCAAACGGUAACGGAGGCGCACAAAGGUUUCCUCUGAACGGGUAGAAAUCGUAUCUAGAGUGUAAAGGCAUAAGGAAGCUUGACUGUGAGACCUACAAGUCGAGCAGGGACGAAAGUCGGUCUUAGUGAUCUGACGGUGCUGAGUGGAAAGGCCGUCACUCAACGGAUAAAAGUUACUCUAGGAUAACAGGCUGAUCUCCCCCAAGAGUUCACAUCGACGGGGAGGUUUGGCACCUCGAUGUCGGCUCAUCGCAUCCUGGGGCGGUAGUACGUCCCAAGGGUUGGGCUGUUCGCCCAUGAAAGCGGUACGCGAGCUGGGUUCAGAACGUCGUGAGACAGUUCGGUCCAUAUCCGGUGUAGGCGUUAGAAUAUUGAGAGGAUCCUUCUUUAGUACGAGAGGACCGAGAAGGACAUACCUCUGGUGUACCAGUUAUCGUGCCAACGGUAAACGCUGGGUAGCUAUGUAUGGAGUGGAUAACCGCUGAAAGCAUCUAAGUGGGAAGCCCACCUCAAGAUAAGUAUCCUCAUCACGUAAGUGAAUAAGGUCACGGUAAGACUAACCGUUUGAUAGGCAUUAAGUGUAAAUCUAGUAAUAGAUGAGCUGAGAUGUACUAACAGACCGAAGACUUG